rnacentral:lncRNA from 10 species
CUGAACUACAGUGCUGACUAGGGAUGAUGGGGGUGGACAUCCCUGCCUUAUUCCCAUGCUGAGACACAAGUCUAGGGCUCUUCGGGGAAAAUUCACUCUCUUAGUGGAGCCCUCUAUGAUGUCAUAGAUUCCUUCUCUGUUAGGUUGUGCUAUCAGUAAAUCAAGCCUGUUUUAAAACCCCAGGAUAUUUUUUUGUGUCAUUUCAAAGGGAUUGUCCAGGAUGGAGGGGCAAACAUACGUGUUAAGGGUAACCAUCUUGAAUCAGAAGUCUAAAUGUUAGGGUUUUGUCAGGGAAGUGUAACCCCAAAAUACAGAGUGUGGGGAGUUAAGAUGAUCUGACAAACCAGGGACUCUGGGCUGACAAGAGAAGAAAGAGUGGGCCGGGUGCGGUGGCUCACGCCUGUAAUCCCAGCACUUUGGGAGGCUGAGGCAGGUGGAUCAUUUGAGGUCAGGAGUUCGAGACGAGCCUGGCCAACAUGGUGAAACCCUGUCUCUACUAAAAAUACAAAAAUUAUCCGGGUGGUAGUGGCGCAUGCCUGUAAUCCCAGCUACUUGGGAGGCUGAGGCAGGAAAAUUGCUUGAGCCUAGGAGGCGGAGAUUGCAGUGAGCCAAGAUCUCGCCACUGCACUCCAGUCUCGGUGACAGAGUGAGACCCUGCCUCAUUAAAAAGAAAAAAAAAAGAGUGAAGGCAGAAGGGAACUGAUGGAUGGGGAAUGCACCUCUGGAUCAGUUGGUGGGAGAUUGAAGAACGGUUGUAUGACGAAUAGUUGAAUAGAGGGAGUGGACGAUGCUCCAGAGAGGAAAAUAUGAGCACAUACAGAUGGUAACAGUGUCUAGAUGGAAACAAGGCUAUGGGUACAGUGGAAAGUGAUCAGGCAUGUGAAGGUCACAGCACUGAGAGGCUGAGGCUUUGAAGUUACCCAGGAUAUGCUAGGAAUUGGGAUGUCAAAAGGCUUCAACAAAUAGAGGCAGUAUUGCGAGUUCAAUGGACAAGGCCACUGUAGGUGGCACGGUGAGGGUGGCACAGAUGGAUAGAGCAGAGGCUUUUGCAAGAAAGUAACAGAAUGAUGUUUUGGAAACAGCGAUGGGGACCUAGGAAGGGCCUGAUCCCACCUCCCAACGGUGGCCCCACUUCCUGACCCUGAGGUUGGGGGUGAAGGAGACUGAGCAGCAGCUGUUCCUGAAAGGGACAAUGUGAGCCGCAACAGCCAUGGGGAGGUGCCAGACUCUUUCUCCCCAGUCCUGGGGUCCCAGAUCCCCUGCCUCUGGUUACACUUGGGGACUGGAGUCCAGCCACGGCCUGGAAGUUGGACACACAGUCCAGGGAUUCAGAGCCAAGUGUUUCCAUCAAUCUGGAAGUAAAGAAGAGAGGGGCUUUGGAUGCCUCAGGCAAGUCACUUCACUUUUCUGAGCCUCAGUUUUAUCAACUCUAAAAUGGGGUUUUAUACUCGCAGAUGGAACUAAAUAAAAUAAUAUCCUAAGUGCUUAAGAAUUACCCCAACUAUGAUUAUUUUAUGUUCCUAGAGCUAGACCUUGAUUUCCUUGUCUUUCUGUGAGGAGCUCCUUGAUUUUGGCCAGAAGUGCAGCCCAACCCUUGGAAGUAAGGAGUUGGAGCCCGACGCUCAGGGCAGCAUCAGGGCCUCAAAGGUGUCCCCUGAACACCAGCCCUUACAGCCUCCGACAGGAUGCUUGCGUCGGAUUCAGGGCUGGGCCUGGACGGGGGCUGGGCAGCUGUGAGUCUGCAACAGGACAAGGAGCAGAGCUGUGGGUCCUGGAAGGGAGGGAACAGAAGGCAAAGCGUGCACCCG